CCUACGGGCGGCUGCAGUGGGGAAUAUUGCACAAUGGGGGGAACCCUGAUGCAGCAACGCCGCGUGGGUGAAGAAGUACUUCGGUAUGUAAAGCCCUGUCAGCAGGGAAGAAAAUGACGGUACCUGACCAAGCAGCCCCGGCUAACUACGUGCCAGCAGCCGCGGUAAUACGUAGGGGGCAAGCGUUAUCCGGAUUUACUGGGUGUAAAGGGAGCGUAGACGGCAAGGCAAGUCUGGAGUGAAAGCCCGUGGCUCAACCACGGGACUGCUUUGGAAACUGUGUUGCUGGAGUGCAGGAGGGGGAAGCGGAAUUCCUAGGGUAGCGGUGAAAUGCGUAGAUAUUAGGAGGAACACCGGUGGCGAAGGCGGCUUACUGGACUGUAACUGACGUUGAGGCUCGAAGGCGUGGGGAGCAAACAGGAUUAGAUACCCGAGUAGUC
rnacentral:rRNA from 1 species